GGUCCUCUGGUGUAAUGGUUAGCACUCUGGACUUUGAAUCCAGCAAUCUGAGUUCGAUUCUCGGGAGGACCU